CUGGCGGCGGCGGCGGGGGCUGGAGGCGCGCCGAGUCUCUGCGGCUGCUCGUACGGCCGCCUUUCUGCGCGGCGACCUCCCCGGCCCCCUGCCCGCAGCGGGGAGGCAGUCGCCCAGCCGGCGCUGAGACGCGCCCCGCCCGGAGGUGAUCCCCCACGGAGCACUGCGGAGUGCGUGCCGUCGGGGACAGCUGCGCUGGCUCGGAGCGAGGGAACCCUGCACGGGACCUGGGGACGUUCCGCGCGCAGUUCCAAGCGCGUCUGGAGUUGGGGGACAGAGGGGCGCAGCGGUCUCAAACCCCUCGCGCGGAGGGGCGACCGUCCCGAUCCCCAGGAGAUCUGGUCCCACGGCAGAGGCCAGUGACGCGGUCUUUCCCGGGAGCUGCUGCAGGAGUCGCAAGGCAGGGAUAGCUCAGACUGCAAGAGGAGCCUCGAGGAGAAGGUUGCUUCCAGAGGCUUCACUCCCUGCGCUUCACCUCCGAGCCCAGGAGGUCCCCGGGGCCAAGGAGCGCACCGGCGGAGAAAGAGACUUCUAGCUCUCUGCGGUGGGAAGGAAUCAGCCGUGGCAGGUGCUAAGAACCACAGGAGAGUCAGGUGGAGAGGGUGAAGCCGUGACGUCAACAGCGUGGAUCAUAAGGACUCCAUCCAGUCGGAGACAAACAGAGGUCAUCUGGGGGACUUCGCGGAGGGCGCUCGCAGCCUCCCCCCUGCCCGGGCGGCGCCCGGCCCGCAUGCUACGAAGCGCUUUCGGCUCGGGCAGCCGCGCGUCUCUCCAGGAACCAACGUGGAGGGGCCCUCGCCAGGUGGUCGGUCUCUGGUCUCAAGUCCCUUUUAACCGCCCUUCCCUGCCCGCCUAGAUCGCGGAGGCCCCACAUUCCUGGCAAGACCUCUCCAGGGCUUCCGGAGGCGGGUCCCAGACUGAGAGAGCGGUUCCAUACUGGGGGGGAGGAUGGGGGGAUGUCCCCGCGAACUGCUGGACGGAGGAAGAUAACACGCCAGCGGCGCGAAGUCCGAGACGGGGGUCUGAUGGCGCCGCGGCCUUGCUCCGGGAGCCGCGACUGGCCUGUUCUCUAUUCCACAUCGCUCGUGCUGCCCUCCUUGCCUUCAUCCUGCGUCUCCCACUAGCUGGACCGAUCCAUCUGCCGACACGUUGGCCCAGUUCCAGGCGGCUCCGGGUCCGGGCGCUCUCACGAGCUGCCCCCCCCCAAACCCUCCAACCCCGGAAGCCCCAGACCCCAGGCAUCCUGAAGCCAGCGGCUCGGUUCGGGGGUUAAGGCCCAACGCCCCGCGGGUUUCCCUGAAAUAGCAAACUUCUGCCGGAAGGGGGCGCCCUUGCCUUUUUAAUAGUCCACAAACGCACAUUGGUAGCGAAAUAAAUCUCUAAAAUUCCAAA
rnacentral:lncRNA from 1 species